GAGAAACCAAAUAACGUUUGAAACAAUCUGGGGGUUAAGGGAUUGUCUCAACCAUUCAGAUCAAAGAAGGCUCUUCAGGAGGGGAUGCCUGGACGUGAGGCAGAGAGUUGACAUUCAGUAUGAACUGCCUUUUCUUUUUAUAACUGACACUCCUAACUCUAGUAUCAUUUCUCAUGGUUUAAUGUGUUUGGGCUCAUUUGGAGCCAACGCUGACAAUGGAAGAUGGCCGAGCAAACAAAGGUAUUGUUGUAAACGUCAAACACAAUCAAAGCCAAAGGACGAGAACAAGCCCUAGCAUGGGUAAGUAUUUAUAGGGGAAAUUAAUUUGUUGUCUGAUGGCCAUGAACUGGGCAGUAGAGCAAAGUGAGCCUUUUACAAGCGAUAUUCCAUCUCCGUCCGCAUUCUAAUGGUUGUAAAACUCACCAUAUGAAGCUAAUAAUUGGUGCAUAAACCUAAUACUUUCCAUUUUUUUUCUCUUAUUUUGUAGGCUUUACGCAUUAUAAAAAACAUGAUUAAGUCCUGGCGGUUAUACUCCUGGCUGGUUCUUAUUUCAGCUUUGGUUCCUCUUGCUCAUUCCUCAUAAAAAUUAUUAGUGUGGAUUGUGUACAUUAAGUCAUCUUCAAUGGGAAAUUAAAUGGGGCAAUUUCUCUCGUCUAAGUGUUUCCGAAGAGGCCCGAUAUAGGUGGUGCCAACGAGCCUCACAAAGCUAGGUGGUGGCUUACCUAUUGAAGGGGACUCCUGAGAGGUUAUGGAGGCAUUCCACCCACGUUACCACACUGGCAAUCUCUAACCCAUCAAGCAAGACUUUAAGGAAGCUGGCACUGAGGAUUACUUGGAAGUCAUAAUCAAUUUAGUAAGUGCCCUCAUCCUCAUUCUCCAAUGCCAUUAGAUGCGUUUCUUCCAUAACACAAACCAAAAGAGAGAUAUGUCAGUGAAACCACUGGGAGAGUUUGAUAUGUCUUCUGGACUUUAUGAGACAUAGGAACUGAUGUCUGACUCAUACUUGAAAACACAGAGGACUGUGGCCUGAACUACUUUUUUCUGGGGUCUACGACCAAGAUAUAUUAGGAGUAAUUAGCACUUCCAGAAUUUGGUGGGGCAAAUAAAGACCCUACUUAAGAAAGGUGGAUUGGGUCAUCAUGGGAAAGAUUGUCUGGAAGGGUGACAUGACCCCAUGAGUGGGGAUGUGCCACUAGAAGCCAAGAGAACGAAGAAGACAUAACUGGCUAGUCUGAGAAGCCUUAACUACAGUCAGCAGAGCAAUUACUGCACGACAUCCUAUAAUGUAGACAAAGGGAGGUAUCUUAAAAAAAAAAACAAAACACCUCACCAAAUGUCCC